rnacentral:rRNA from 1 species
GCCUAUACAGGUGUUGCAUGGCUGUCGUCAGCUCGUGUCGUGAGAUGUUCGGUUAAGUCCGCUAACGAGCGCAACCUCGCUGUGUGUUACAAGUGUCACACGGAACUGCCGGUCAUAAACCAGAGGAAGGUGGGGAUGACGUCAAGUCAGCAUGGCCUUUAUAUCCUGGGCUACACACACGCUACAAUGGGAAGGGACAAUAGGUUGCGAAGCCGCGAGGCGGAGCCAAUCCAGCAAAACUUCCCUCAGUUCAGAUUGCAGGCUGCAACUCGCCUGCAUGAAGUUGGAGUUGCUAGUAAACGCAGGUCAGCCAUACUGCGUUGAAUACGUUCCCGGGGCUU